UACGGGGGGAGCAAGCGUUGUUCGGAUUUACUGGGCGUAAAGGGCGGGUAGGCGGCCACCGCAAGUCGACUGUGAAAUCUCCGGGCUUAACCCGGAAAGGUCAGCCGAUACUGCGGGGCUAGAGUGCAGAAGGGGCAACUGGAAUUCUCGGUGUAGCGGUGAAAUGCGUAGAUAUCGAGAGGAACACCUGCGGCGAAGGCGGGUUGCUGGGCUGUAACUGACGCUGAGGCACGAAAGUGUGGGGAUCAAACAGG
rnacentral:rRNA from 1 species